AUUGUUGUAUUUGUAAUCAGCAUACAUGCCUACGCUUAUGAAAAAAGUGAAAUGGAGGAGAUCUCAUUGGUUGCUCUCUCGGGAUGUAUUUGGUUGCAGGCUUUUGUUAUGAUAUUAGAAACAAAUAUCUAGCUUUUGUUCUGCUUCUACUUCUGGGGGUCUCUACUAUUGGAGUACCAAGCUUGCUGGCCCAAAAUGGUCACCAUUUGCUUCAUGGAUAACUGGCUGGUAUAUUGAGAUGAUUUCUUUGGAGCAAUUCUUGGCAACAUUUGUAGUUGAGGCCUUUAGAAUGGAAUAAUGUAUUUCACUAAUUUUUGUAUACAUUUCUUGUUUUGUAUUUAGUGAUAAAGGAAUCUGAAUUGGGCAUAAAUUAUGUUGUAAUAUGAUUUCUUAAGCCUAGACUAGUAGACUAAAUAUUGUAAUUACAU